rnacentral:lncRNA from 1 species
GAGGAAGUGAGCUGCCAUGUACUAGGCCACGUGGCAAGGGCCUGGUUGGGGACCUCCAGGGGUUGAGAGCAUCCUCUGGACAACAUGGAAAAAGAAAAUGAAAAUGGUGACCUCAGCCCUAUAGCUAGAAGGAAUUGAAUCCUGUCAACAACGAUCAACAGGCUAUUGGGUUUGGAGUGAAUUCUCAGAAACAUCACUACUGACAUAACUCCAUAAAGAAUUCAUAAUUUCUACUCACAUGUUUUACCCACAUCAAUAACAGAAUCUCAGGAAAACCAAAGUGGAGUUUACAAUGUUCAUUUUGACACUGUGCAUUAGACUUCUCGACUUCAAGCUACAAAAACCAGCACAGAACCUGGAAAAAUUUUACCUCCUGGCAUUUUUGUUUCUCUACCCUGAUGCUUGUUGUUGAGUUUUACCCAUGCUUUGACCAUCAGCAAAUUGAAGAUAAGAAAAGGAAUAAAGUUUAUCAA